UAGGGGAAUGAAACUUCCCUUUCUGCAGCGGGAGUUAUCGCCGCUGACUUUCCCGGAGGCAUGAGACCUUCCGACAGUCAUGAAGUGUCCCAGCUCAAUG
rnacentral:ncRNA from 1 species